rnacentral:rRNA from 1 species
GGACAAUGGGCGCAAGCCUGAUCCAGCAAUACCGCGUGUGUGAAGAAGGCCUUAGGGUUGUAAAGCACUUUCAAUUGGGAGGAAAACCUGCCGGUCAAUACCCGGCAGCUUGACAUUACCUUUAGAAGAAGCACCGGCUAACUCCGUGCCAGCAGCCGCGGUAAUACGGAGGGUGCGAGCGUUAAUCGGAAUUACUGGGCGUAAAGCGUGCGUAGGCGGUUCGUUAAGUCAGAUGUGAAAGCCCCGGGCUUAACCUGGGAACUGCAUUUGAUACUGGGCGACUAGAGUUGAGUAGAGGGGAGUGGAAUUUCAGGUGUAGCGGUGAAAUGCGUAGAUAUCUGAAGGAACACCAGUGGCGAAGGCGACUCCCUGGACUCGAACUGACGCUGAGGUACGAAAGCGUGGGUAGCAAACAGGAUUAGAUACCCUGGUAGUCCACGCCGUAAACGAUGUCAACUAGCCGUUGGUCCUAUUUACAGGAUUAGUGGCGCAGCUAACGCAUUAAGUUGACCGCCUGGGAGGUACGGCCGCGAGGUUAAA